UAACGAAAAACUUUAACAUUUAGGGUAAACUUUCCUAAAUCGUACUUUUUCCUAAAACGUACCCCAUCGAGUUCUCGUUUCGUGAAACUGCAGUGGCGACGCAAGUGCUAGAAAAUGAAACUACUAGUUGGCAUUGUUCCGUGAUCCGAGCAACGACUCCAUGCUGCCGCUCCUUUUAAAAUUAUUCAAAAAAUCGACAUGGCUAAGCGACGAUACAAAACUUGGUCAAGUGACGAUAUGGAAAAAGCCCUCAGUGCUUAUAAAGAUGGAAGUUUAAAAUUUAAUGAAACUUGUCGUGUAUUUAAUAUUCCAAAACCGACAUUUCGGCGUCAUUUAAAAGGAUUGAAUAUGCACGAAGGAAUUGGACGUCCGAAAUAUUUAACAAAAGCAAUGGAAGACGAACUAGUUAACCAUAUAUUGGAAUUAGAAUCCAGAUUUUUUGGCGUUACCAUACGUGAUUUACGCCACUUAGCAUACCAAUUAGCGGAAAAAUAUGGUUUGCCUCACAAAUUUAAUCCGGAA